rnacentral:rRNA from 1 species
UACGUAGGGUCCGAGCGUUGUCCGGAAUUAUUGGGCGUAAAGGGCUCGUAGGCGGUUAGUCACGUCGGGAGUGAAAACUCAGGGCUCAACCCUGAGCGUGCUUCCGAUACGGGCUGACUAGAGGUAUGCAGGGGAGAACGGAAUUCCUGGUGUAGCGGUGGAAUGCGCAGAUAUCAGGAGGAACACCGGUGGCGAAGGCGGGUCUCUGGGCCGAUACUGACGCUGAGGAGCGAAAGCAUGGGGAGCGAACAGG